rnacentral:tRNA from 1 species
GGAGAUUUAGCUCAGUGGUAGAGCGCUUGCCUAGCAAGUGCGAAGGCCCUGGGUUCGGUCCUCAGCUCCG